rnacentral:lncRNA from 1 species
AUAUAGGAAGCAUGAGGACAGAUGGGGUUAAUUGCUUUCCUAGGGGAGUCUGAGGCCUAGAUUAUCAAGGGUGCUCUUCUACUGUUAUGGUGAAAUGGACUCAGUGUUCCCUGUACAGUAAACCCCUUGGAGUAUGGUUUCACUGGGAAGUAGUUAAGCAGUGAAUCAAGUUCAGAAGCUGGCAGGAGAGACCCAGAUAGAGUAACUCUGAAGUGGAGGAAGGCAUCUAUUAAUACCUAUCAUGUUUCCUUACCUUCAAAAGACCCCCAUACUCUCAACAGAGAGAAGUUAUCUUCAAAGGGUCAUUUCAGGAUUAUUUUCUGGAUGUCUGCAUCUUUGAUAACAUCUAGGGUAACUGAAGUCACCUCCUUCUUCUCUCUCUCCUACAAGAAAAGGAAAACUUUAGUUUAA